rnacentral:misc_RNA from 1 species
GAUGAAGAACGUAGCGAAAUGCGAUAAGUAAUGUGAAUUGCAGAAUUCAGUGAAUCAUCGAAUCUUUGAACGCACAUUGCGCCCCCUGGUAUUCCGGGGGGCAUGCCUGUUCGAGCGUCAUUUCACCACUCAAGCCUCGCUUGGUAUUGGGCAUCGCGGUCCGCCGCGUGCCUCAAAUCGACCGGCUGGGUCUUCUGUCCCCUAAGCGUUGUGGAAACUAUUCGCUAAAGGGUGUUCGGGAGGCUACGCCGUAAAACAACCCCAUUUCUAAGGUUGACCUCGGAUCAGGUAGGGAUACCCGCCGAACUUAAGCAUAUCAAUAAGCGGAGGA